rnacentral:other from 1 species
AUUUCCCUGCCAUGCCCGUGAUGCACAACAGUUCUUGAACCACGAUUGACGUACCACGGGAGCGCCGGUGGCCGGCGACGUCACGCCGCGGCCGCAGGCUCGCGGAGACCCACCCGGUCGAAGGCGCACCCACCUGGGAUUCCAGGUCUCAAGAACUCGCCUGCACACGGCAUUUCGGCGGGGAUUGU